GUUAUAUGGUCAAGUGAAGAAGCGCAUACGGUGGAUGCCUUGGCAGUCAGAGGCGAUGAAAGACGUGGUAGCCUGCGAAAAGCUUCGGGGAGUCGGCAAACAGACUUUGAUCCGGAGAUGUCUGAAUGGGGGAACCCAGCCAUCAUAAGAUGGUUACCUUACACUGAAUACAUAGGUGUAAGGGGCGAACCAGGGGAACUGGAAACAUCUAAGUACCCUGAGGAAAAGAAAUCAACCGAGAUUCCCUUAGUAGUGGCGAGCGAACGGGGACUAGCCCUUAAGUGGCUUUGAGAUUAGCGGAACGCUCUGGAAAGUGCGGCCAUAGUGGGUGAUAGCCCUGUACGCGAAAAUCUCUUAGUCAUGAAAUCGAGUAGGACGGAGCACGAGAAACUUUGUCUGAAUAUGGGGGACCAUCCUCCAAGGCUAAAUACUACUGACUGACCGAUAGUGAACUAGUACCGUGAGGGAAAGGCGAAAAGAACCCCGGAGAGGGGAGUGAAAUAGAUCCUGAAACCGUAUGCGUACAAGCAGUGGGAGCCUACUUGUUAGGUGACUGCGUACCUUUUGUAUAAUGGGUCAGCGACUUAUUUUCAGUGGCGAGCUUAACCGAAUAGGGGAGGCGUAGCGAAAGCGAGUCUUAAUAGGGCGUCUAGUCGCUGGGAAUAGACCCGAAACCGGGCGAUCUAUCCAUGGGCAGGUUGAAGGUUGGGUAACACUAACUGGAGGACCGAACCGACUACCGUUGAAAAGUUAGCGGAUGACCUGUGGAUCGGAGUGAAAGGCUAAUCAAGCUCGGAGAUAGCUGGUUCUCCUCGAAAGCUAUUUAGGUAGCGCCUCAUGUAUCACUGUAGGGGGUAGAGCACUGUUUCGGCUAGGGGGUCAUCCCGACUUACCAAACCGAUGCAAACUCCGAAUACCUACAAGUGCCGAGCAUGGGAGACACACGGCGGGUGCUAACGUCCGUCGUGAAAAGGGAAACAACCCAGACCGUCAGCUAAGGUCCCAAAGUUAUGGUUAAGUGGGAAACGAUGUGGGAAGGCUUAGACAGCUAGGAGGUUGGCUUAGAAGCAGCCACCCUUUAAAGAAAGCGUAAUAGCUCACUAGUCGAGUCGGCCUGCGCGGAAGAUGUAACGGGGCUCAAACCAUACACCGAAGCUACGGGUAUCACGUAAGUGAUGCGGUAGAGGAGCGUUCUGUAAGCCUGUGAAGGUGAGUUGAGAAGCUUGCUGGAGGUAUCAGAAGUGCGAAUGCUGACAUGAGUAACGAUAAUGGUGUGAAAAACACCCACGCCGAAAGACCAAGGUUUCCUGCGCAACGUUAAUCGACGCAGGGUUAGUCGGUCCCUAAGGCGAGGCUGAAAAGCGUAGUCGAUGGAAAACAGGUUAAUAUUCCUGUACUUCUGGUUAUUGCGAUGGAGGGACGGAGAAGGCUAGGCCAGCUUGGCGUUGGUUGUCCAAGUUUAAGGUGGUAGGCUGGAAUCUUAGGUAAAUCCGGGAUUCUAAGGCCGAGAGCUGAUGACGAGUUAUCUUUUAGAUGACGAAGUGGUUGAUGCCAUGCUUCCAAGAAAAGCUUCUAAGCUUCAGGUAACCAGGAACCGUACCCCAAACCGACACAGGUGGUUGGGUAGAGAAUACCAAGGCGCUUGAGAGAACUCGGGUGAAGGAACUAGGCAAAAUGGCACCGUAACUUCGGGAGAAGGUGCGCCGGUGAGGGUGAAGGACUUGCUCCGUAAGCUCAUGCCGGUCGAAGAUACCAGGCCGCUGCGACUGUUUAUUAAAAACACAGCACUCUGCAAACACGAAAGUGGACGUAUAGGGUGUGACGCCUGCCCGGUGCCGGAAGGUUAAUUGAUGGGGUUAGCUAACGCGAAGCUCUUGAUCGAAGCCCCGGUAAACGGCGGCCGUAACUAUAACGGUCCUAAGGUAGCGAAAUUCCUUGUCGGGUAAGUUCCGACCUGCACGAAUGGCGUAACGAUGGCGGCGCUGUCUCCACCCGAGACUCAGUGAAAUUGAAAUCGCUGUGAAGAUGCAGUGUAUCCGCGGCUAGACGGAAAGACCCCGUGAACCUUUACUAUAGCUUUGCACUGGACUUUGAAUUUGCUUGUGUAGGAUAGGUGGGAGGCUUUGAAGCGUGGACGCCAGUUCGCGUGGAGCCAACCUUGAAAUACCACCCUGGCAACUUUGAGGUUCUAACUCAGGUCCGUUAUCCGGAUCGAGGACAGUGUAUGGUGGGUAGUUUGACUGGGGCGGUCUCCUCCUAAAGAGUAACGGAGGAGUACGAAGGUGCGCUCAGACCGGUCGGAAAUCGGUCGUAGAGUAUAAAGGCAAAAGCGCGCUUGACUGCGAGACAGACACGUCGAGCAGGUACGAAAGUAGGUCUUAGUGAUCCGGUGGUUCUGUAUGGAAGGGCCAUCGCUCAACGGAUAAAAGGUACUCCGGGGAUAACAGGCUGAUACCGCCCAAGAGUUCAUAUCGACGGCGGUGUUUGGCACCUCGAUGUCGGCUCAUCACAUCCUGGGGCUGAAGCCGGUCCCAAGGGUAUGGCUGUUCGCCAUUUAAAGUGGUACGCGAGCUGGGUUUAGAACGUCGUGAGACAGUUCGGUCCCUAUCUGCCGUGGACGUUUGAGAUUUGAGAGGGGCUGCUCCUAGUACGAGAGGACCGGAGUGGACGAACCUCUGGUGUUCCGGUUGUCACGCCAGUGGCAUUGCCGGGUAGCUAUGUUCGGAAUAGAUAACCGCUGAAAGCAUCUAAGCGGGAAACUAGCCUCAAGAUGAGAUCUCACUGGGACCUUGAGUCCCCUGAAGGGCCGUCGAAGACUACGACGUUGAUAGGUUGGGUGUGUAAGCGCUGUGAGGCGUUGAGCUAACCAAUACUAAUUGCCCGUGAGGCUUGACCAUAUAACACCCAAGCAAUU
rnacentral:rRNA from 1 species